AACUACAACGGUUGUAUUAUAAUUAACAACUCUGCGACGCGGUGAAAUGAAGCGGCGUUGAUUACAAGUUUGUCGCGUCGCGUCAGAUGGGCUUUAAUCUUCUGGGCGUCGCCUUGGCUCGACUCGGCUAGAUUCGGACCAAUCGGGAUUCCGCUCAGUACUUUGUAAACAACACAGUUGCACGCUGUAUGAAAACUUUACUACGAGAGGAUGUCGCGUGCCGAGGACCGACAGAAAAAUCUCUUAAUUCGGUGACCAUGGAUUUCAUAUAGGCUUGUGCAUACAUUCAAUUCCUGGGAUCGGGUCUGUGCAGCUGCCGGCUGCAGCUGAGCUCCAGUUGAGCUCUGUGCAGGAGCCACAGUUUCUAAAACCCCUCUCCACCCCGGCUACACGUUCUCCUGGAACGCUUUAGUGCGUCUUUCCUUGCGGUCAGUUCUCCCUGCGGUUCAGACAUGCCACCCAAUCUCCCGCUUAUUGGACCCAUCUGUCUCAUUAGAUUGUGUGUCAUUGCUGGUACUGUUUUAAAUGUCAGAUUUGGAGGCCAGCCUGUAUCACUUCCUCUUCCAUUAAAUGCACUAGAGAAAACGCCAGGUUCUUCAUAGGCUGGCAUGAUUUCCCGACAGGGUUUAAGGCGGUAUAUGGCAUAUUUUGAGAUCCAGCUGAAUUUUUUCCAAGUGAUUUACCCUGGUAAUAAACUCCGAUAUUAUCGCACCAUCCUGUAUAAAUGAGUUUUUUUUGCCACCAUGUUGAACCAUAUCUGAGUUGAAGGACGUCCACCUGCAGUGGCCAUCGCAAGACCCCAAGUAUGCAUAACGUACAAUGUAAUUAGCAACACUCAUUAGUGUGCAAAGCAAACUGAUAAUUUUUUUAAGAGUUUGGCACAAAUGUGUUCCAACUUCUUUUGAUUUUUAGGAUUGGUUAAAACAUAAUAGCCAUUUUAUUAUGACAGUUACUGUAUCUUGUGUUUCAAAUAAGUGAAUAUUUUAUAGUUCUUGUCUUAGUGAUAGGAUUUUUCUUUUGAUGAGUAUCAUAUUCAUUAAUUAUUCGAUUUUACUCUAAAAUGGCAUCUCAUUUUAGUUGACGAAAAUACUGAUCUAGUUCCAAAGAAAGUGAAAACAUUUUAUAUAUAAAUUUAAACGUGUAUCAACAUUUUACAAAAACAACAUGUGAAAACUGUCCUUGUCCAUCAUUAUCUAAGUUAUUAUGUAAAUAAUUUCAUACAGGAUGCACUUCUGUUUACUGGUGUUCAUUCACUCAUCAACUGUAGUUCACAGAUGAUUGAUUAUGAUUGUGUUAUACAGUGGGUACGGAAAGUAUUCAGACCCCCUUCAAUUUUUCACUCUU